GACGAACGCUGGCGGCGUGCUUAACACAUGCAAGUCGAACGGAAAGGCCCUGCUUUUGUGGGGUGCUCGAGUGGCGAACGGGUGAGUAACACGUGAGUAACCUGCCCUUGACUUUGGGAUAACUUCAGGAAACUGGGGCUAAUACCGGAUAGGAGCUCCUGCUGCAUGGUGGUGGUUGGAAAGUUUCGGCGGUUGGGGAUGGACUCGCGGCUUAUCAGCUUGUUGGUGGGGUAGUGGCUUACCAAGGCUUUGACGGGUAGCCGGCCUGAGAGGGUGACCGGCCACAUUGGGACUGAGGUACGGCCCAGACUCCUACGGGAGGCAGCAGUCGGGAAUAUUGCACAAUGGGCGGAAGCCUGAUGCAGCAGCGCCGCGUGCGGGAUGACGGCCUUCGGGUUGUAAACCGCUUUCGCCUGUGACGAAGCGUGAGUGACGGUAAUGGGUAAAGAAGCACCGGCUAACUACGUG
rnacentral:rRNA from 1 species